CAUGAUGUUGCCAGACCUGUUUGUCUGCAUCCUACUUGUUUAAAAAUGGGUUCGUUUUGUUCAAAAUGGCACCUGCGUGUGGCAAGUCACAACAUUUGAUCAUUUGAGUCACAAAACUGGGAGUAAAAUAUAACAUUUCAUCAUCUAACAAAAGUCUAGCCACGCAGGCUUCUACCUUUGACCAUUUUUGUCUUUUUCAUUGUCCAAGUUCAUCCAGAUUUACAGAACUUGUGAACAGACUCCAAGUGUUUAAAGUUUAAUGAACUUUAAUGAGACUACAGAAAUGUAAAGAGUUUACAAAUAACCGUGACUUAGUUGUGAUUUUCUUGGCUUGAUUGAUUCUUGUACAUAACACGGGAUUAUUGGAUAGUCUCUACUACUGUAUGAUUUUCUUUUUUCUCUUUUUUUUUAACCAUGAAAAUCUAAAACAGGCAGAUUACAACGAUAAACAGGGGAAGAGCUAAAGGCCUCUAUUGCUGCUGUUCUGUUUUCUUUGUUUUUGUUUUGUUUUUUAGCUAGCGUUCAUUUUUACAGUUAUAUUUGCACCAUUAUAGUGACUAAAUACAAAUUUAUUCAUUGUAUUUGGUGUGGUUGGGCCAGUGAGAGAGUGAUGCUGCCCUCAAUAUUAGAUAAAUUUGCUCCACAUGACUUUACUUAUUUCUUCACUAAAGCGUUUGACUGUACCCGUUAACACUGAGUGUCUUUUUAUGAAAAACAAACAAAAAAGAAAAUUGAUGGAUUAUAAAUGUUCACAAGGUUUUGCAGAAUUUGGAGAUCCGACUCUGAAGUUCCCCACCACCUCAAACCAUCGUUCUCGUGAAGAGGCAGAACUAUGUUGUUAGUGGUUAAAUAUGAUAUUUCAGGCCCGUUAUUGGAUUUUCAUAAAACUUGAUGUGUUUCACCCAGUUGUAACAUAUAAAAUGCCAGCUUGUAAACUUGAAAUAGUUUUAAGCUUAAAGAAAACUUUAAAAGAUUAAUUCAUUUUUGCAGAGUGACAUUUUUCUUAUUCUCUGUUUGGAAAAUGUGUCUGUUAACAUUACCUUCAAACUUCUGUAAACCCAAGUGCUAGAUAACCUGCCCAAUGACUCUAUUUUUUUUUUCUUCUGUUUACACCUGUCUCUGUAGCUGCACUGCCAUUACCUAAGAAAUUAACCCAUAGAUGUCCUGUUUGCACUAAAGUCUUGGCAGGAUUGGGACACAAGCAGUGUGUCUGUCUGCACAGUACCAGGCCUCUGGCUUUUUAUGGAGCUGUCAUCCAGCCCUGGCCAGGGAACAGCUGUGGAACGCCAUCUUUCUCCCUCAGCCCUCCAGAGCACUGAACCUUGGCAAAUGUCAUCAGUUUGUUAAUGCUCUGUUCCACUGCUGUUAAGCCUGCUUACCCCUGUGCUCAAUGGCAUGCUCGUUUUACUGGGGUUCAGUCAGUGGUCAUGUGGUGAGAUUGCAAAGCGUAUCACUGUGGAGCAUGUUACAUCCCCUUGUAAAGAUGUAGUUGUACACACAAACAUCAGCAAACAUGACUUAACCGUCAAGAUUAAAGAAGAUAACAAAAGGCCUCAAACCGCAGUUGGUUUACUUAAUCUAAAUCACAAGCAUGAGCAUCGGAUUAAUCUACACUGACUGUGUUGAUGCACUUAAUAGAUUGUACCCACCAUACUCUUACAUUAGGAACAACUUUUUAAACGCCAUAAAUGUUGCUUGAAACUUGAAGAAAUUUAAAAUAAGAAACGACGUCCGGAUUUUUUUUAAUUUUUUUUUUAAUGAUUUGCGGUCAUUCAGAUGAAAAAAUUGCCAAAUUGGUUUUAAGCCGCACAGACAUGCGUGUUUGUGAAUGUCGAAAAACAACAGUUAUAAUUAAUGGAUCAGAAAUCUGAUAAAGAAAAAAAAAACGUGUCCCUUAUAAUAAUUUGCAUCUGUAAAAUUAAAAUAUUUUGACUCUGAGAUAAGAUAACCAGGAUUUUACACAGUACAAUACACGUUAUGCGUAUUAUUUAUGAGUACUUUUAACUGCUUAUUAUUUUUGUCUUUGCAGUAUCAUGAGUGGUAUAUCUAUUUUAUGUAACAAAAACAACUCAUUUUAGAUGAGAAAUAAAGAUGUUCUUCUUUAUGAAAAA
ensembl:lncRNA